rnacentral:lncRNA from 1 species
UACUAAGGUAGUGUCGAAUGACUGGAUCUUGAAUUAGAUUGGAGAGCCUAAUAGGAAAUCUAAUUCAUGUGGAGAGGGGCAGAAGUGACUUUAGAUACGACAGACCCGCGAGAAUCUUGGAGUGCUCAGGUAUUCAAUCAAUAUUAGAUUAGAUGGAUAAUUGACUUUUAUAGAAAAGGGGUAAAACUAAAUUCUUUCUUUUCGGCAACCCCUAAUCAAGCCUCCCUCUUUCUUUCACAACGAUAAUCGGGAAAGGGGGUACGGAUUAGAUCAAACAAAGGAGGAAAUAUGGAUCUGUAAUAUAUAGUGAUUUCUCCUUUUUAGUGAUUUUCCCCUUUAUGUUUUUACUUACGAAGGUCAACAAAAACAAAAAAAUAAUAGGCCUUAUUAUUCCUACUCGUUCCUAUUUCCUUGAGAUGUUACUACGUAUUUGCUUGUGUUUAAUCUUUCACGAUUCAAAAAAAGAAUCAUUUAUUGGAUUGGUUUCUCAAUAGUGUUUGGUCAGAAUCCCUUUUUGACUUUGCACCAUUGAUUCCACUAUUAUUAGAAAGGAACAAUGGAAUAAUUCCUUCAUAUUUAUAGAGAUAGGGGACAUAACUCACAUGGAUAUAGUAAAUCUUGCUUGGGCUGCUUUAAUGGUAGUCCUUACAUUUUCCCUUUCACUCGUAGUGUGGGAGAGAAGUGGACUUUAGAAGCACUACUAAUUGAGUUGAGGAAUCAUACUGUAUCAAUUGUUUUAUAGAUUGUUCUGCAAUGCAUUUUGAACUAUAUAAAAUCAAAAUAUCUUAAUUUCCAAUUCCAUUGGAGUCCAAUGGAGUAAUGUAUGAUAGGAAUCAUACUCUUUCAAUCAAAGAACUGUUUCAAUGAUUCCCAUGUUUGUAUUUCAAAAGGAAAGGGA